UAUGUUGUACUUCCCCUCAGUCCUAUUUUAAGACAUCGUCAUACUUUUCACACACACACGCACGCGUGCACACACACGCACACGCACGCACACACACACACACACACACACACACACACACACACACACACACACACACACACACACACACACACACACACACACACACACACACACACACACACACACACACACACACACAUACAGCAGAUCCUGUUUGCCUCCACCUAGAGCAGAUGCUUCCACAUCCACACAGAAGAGAGACUGCUUGCUCCUUCAAAGAUGCUUGUCUGUCGAUACCAUCUCUCACUUUGGAUAUUUGUUCUGCUUAUCUGUUACCUACAACUUUGGGGUGUAGCCUCUCCUAGAGCUCCUCCUCCUCCUCCUCCCCCCUCUCUCCUCCCACCCCUCCUCUCAGUUGAUCCCCCAGAUGGUCAGGUGAAGCGCGGCCAGACGUUAUCCUUCCACUGCUCCCCCCCUCCUCCUCACUCCCAGCAGAGCCCGAAACCAGAGGCCUUCCUACUGCUGAGGACAGCUAAAGCGACUGGGCACUCCAUGGGGAGCUCCAUGGUCCACCCCCAGGCCUCCCUGGUGUCCCACUCCACAGCCCAGACCGGGGCCUUCCACCUGGGGCCCGUGAGGGGAGGCGAGGGGGGGUCCUACACCUGCCUCUACCAGGUUACAGUGCCUCGUCAGGGACCGGCUAAUUCAACCGCCAGUCAUCCAGUUCUUGUCACGGUCACAGGUGAGAAAUCUGGUUGAGGGGUGAAAUUUCAGCUAGACACUGAUCUAAUGUCAGUUAUGUAUUGUAUUCCCAAUGGUUAAGGUUAGAAUUGUGUGUGAGAAAAAUAUGAUACCCAUACUCUCUCUCCAUCUUUUCUCUGGUGGGCCUGCCAUCCCAGAGCUGUUGCCGGUGCCCACUCUCUCUCUCCAGAGCCAGGCUGGGGAGUGGGCCUUGGUGUGUACUGGCUCACCUGCCUUCCCUGGUGCCCGCUUCUCUCUAUACCGCCUGGGAAGUACCUUCCCUGAUGCCACCCGUAGUGCCCCCGCUACCCGACAUCGUGCCCUUUUUGUUCUCUCAUCCCAGGACGGCCCGUUGUCGGACCAGUACCAGUGCCAAUACAGUUCCCUGCUGGGAGCAGAGUGGAGCCACUCAGAGAGAAGUCCACUGCUGGCUGUGCCUAGAGUCAUAGAAAAUACCACCAUCUCCCCUCCCUCCUCACCAGGGCUGACUGGUGUGGACUGGCCUCUGGUGUUGGGAUGUCUUUCUGUUGUGGUUCUGUUCUUCAUUGUACUGGUGGGCGUGGGUGUGGCAGUGCAGAGGAAAGUUAAGGUAAUAGUGGAAGAAAAGCGUAAAAGGUGGGUGUUGGAUCCUCUAUCUAUGAGUCUCUAA
rnacentral:lncRNA from 8 species